GACGUAGGAUGCAAGCGUUGUCCGGAAUCAUUGGGCGUAAAGAGUUCGUAGGUGGUAUAUCAAGUCUGGUGUUAAAUACCGGAGCUCAACUCCGGAAUGGCACUGGAUACUGGUAAACUAGAGUACAGUAGAGGCAAGGGGAAUUCCCAGUGUAGCGGUGAAAUGCGUAGAUAUUGGGAGGAACACCAGUGGCGUAAGCGCCUUGCUGGGCUGUUACUGACGCUGAGGAACGAAAGCCAGGGGAG
rnacentral:rRNA from 1 species